UAAUCUUCCAAAUAAGAUUUAAUUUACUUGUAGGGAGAACAUCAUAAACAAUGUAGAAUAUAUGUACAGCAGGGUCAUAUAUUCAGCCGGAGCGCUGAUGGCGGCAGUAUUUGACGACUUGUUUGUAUAGAGGACUGAAGUCUACAGGAUGUGUAGCAGUGUGAGGACAUGCAGAUCAUCUCUUUCACCCAGACAGCAGGGAGCAAGGGAGCGCAGCGCCCUCUGCAGGCCGAGGGAACCCAGACACCUCCCAGACAACAAGACUGAGGAGGGGAUCCCUCCCUGUCUCCGUGGUUACAUCUCUCUCUGUGUGUGUGUGUGUGUGUGUGUGUGUGUGUGUGUGUGUGUGUGUGUGUGUUUCCUCAGGUCGACUCGUUAAUCUCUGCAGGCAACUGUGAUGUCACAUUUCCCUCACAACCACCUGCAGAGAUGAUCCAGUCGCCCUGCUGAUCGAUCAAUAACAGACUCACUGCUGGAUCAGGAGGCUGUAACAGCAGUGGUGGAAAGUUAUGAGUAGAACUGCAUAUCCAGCUGUGCAGCGACGGACAGGUUUCCUGAUGUUGAUGAUACUGCAUCAGGAACUGAUUGGAGAGCGAUGAGAGGCCAUCAGUUCCUGAUGCACUGCCUUCAGCAUUGAAAGACGCUCCGCACUGUGAACACUUGAAGGAUCAUUAUCCAGUCAGCAGGAUAAAUGAUGAAGCAUUUUGGACUCUAAUGUUAGCAUUUAGCUCAAAGUACAGUCUCACAUAACUGCUAGCAUGGAUGUAGACUAGUGGUGUAAAGAUUUAUUGAUACGAGUCAGAAAUCAGUUUUAAUGUUAUAGAUGCGACUACAUCGGUACACAGACCUCUGGAUCGACCUAAAUGUACCAUGAACCCGUCGAUGGUACGAUUAUAAAGUUAUGAAUGCUAAUGAUGCUACCACAGCUAGCACAAUAACAGUAACACACGAGAUAUUAUGUAUUUUGUAUAUUAUGUGUAUUUAUUGGACCUUGAGUCUGGAAAUAAAAGUUGAUUGAUUGAUUGAUUGAUUAAACACUUUCCAGUCACAAUGGAGCUCCAACUGGACGAGGUCUAAAGUAUUCACGGCAGAAAGUCUUUGUUGUUUGUGUAAGCAGGAAACAAUGACCCCGCCCUAAAGCAUGCCCUGCUUUAUGGUCUGUUUUACUCUCAAUGGGACCAUCAGUUACUAAAUGAACAUCAUGCUGUAUGGAAGAAGACUGAAACGAGAGACUGAGAUAAAUAAAUCAAGUUCUACAUAA